rnacentral:rRNA from 1 species
UACGUUGGGGGCAAGCGUUGUCCGGAUUUAUUGGGCGUAAAGAGCGUGUAGGCGGCCUGACAGGUCUGCUGUGAAAACUCGAGGCUCAACCUCGAGAUGUCGGCGGAAACCGUCUGGCUAGAGUCCGGAAGAGGAGAGUGGAAUUCCUGGUGUAGCGGUGAAAUGCGCAGAUAUCAGGAAGAACACCUAUGGCGAAGGCAGCUCUCUGGGACGGUACUGACGCUGAGACGCGAAAGCGUGGGGAGCGAACAGG